rnacentral:rRNA from 1 species
AUUAAUAAGCGGAGGAAAAGAAACUAACGAGGAUUCCCUCAGUAACGGCGAGUGAAGCGGGAUAAGCCCAGCACCGAAUCCUCCGCCGUAACGGCGGCUGGAAUUGUGGUGUUUAGGACAGCUCACGGCGUACGAUCGGCGGUCCGAGUUCCUCUGAUCGGGGCUUCAUCCAUAGCGGGUGUCAGGCCUCUACGGCCGCUAGUCGUGCGUCGAGAGUAGUCCCGGGAGUCGGGUUGUUUGAGAUUGCAGCCCAAAGCGGGUGGUAAACUCCAUCUAAGGCUAAAUACAGACACGAGUCCGAUAGCGCACAAGUACCGUGAGGGAAAGUU